rnacentral:pre_miRNA from 1 species
AGUGGAAUAACUGGGUCAUUUGGUGACUCCAUUCAUAGUUUUUUGAGGAAUCUACAGACUGCUUUCCAGAGUAGCUAUACUAGUCUGAAAUCCCACAAACAAU